AUCUAGAUGACGAGUCCCAAAUAGGGUGAAACUCAUGUCAAACUGGAU
rnacentral:hammerhead_ribozyme from 1 species